GCUUAUUUCGCGCAGCUUAGGUGGGAGACGUUGAACCUUUUCUUCCGGGAAAGGGGGAGUCAUCAGUGAGAUACCACUCUUGGUAAGCUAGAGCGCUCAUUUUUAACCGUUAUCCGGUAAAAAGACAGUUUCAGGCGGGCAGUUUGACUGGGGCAGUCACCUCCCAAAAGGUAAUGGAGGUGUACAAAGGUUCUCUCAGGCUGGACGGAAAUCAGCCAUAGAGUGUAAAAGCAUAAGAGAGCUUGACUGCGAGACGGACAUGUCAAGCAGAGACGAAAGUCGGUUUUAGUGAUCCGACGGUGCUGAGUGGAAAGGCCGUCGCUCAACGGAUAAAAGUUACUCUAGGGAUAAC
rnacentral:rRNA from 1 species